rnacentral:sRNA from 1 species
GAUACCAGGGGAAAAAGUCUAAAAUCACGAUGUGCUUGCACAAAAGUGAUUUUAAGACUUUAUGCCCCGCCCCACAUAUGAGCAUAAAAGUGCGGCGUAAGCUGCACGAUAUGCGAAUGUGGGCGAAGAUUGCGGGAGUGUGAAACACGGAGCAAUCUUCUGG